UACGAAGGGGGCUAGCGUUGCUCGGAAUCACUGGGCGUAAAGCGCACGUAGGCGGCUUUCUAAGUCAGGGGUGAAAUCCUGGAGCUCAACUCCAGAACUGCCUUUGAUACUGGAGAGCUUGAGUCCGGGAGAGGUGAGUGGAACUCCGAGUGUAGAGGUGAAAUUCGCAGAUAUUCGGAAGAACACCAGUGGCGAAGGCGGCUCACUGGCCCGGUACUGACGCUGAGGUGCGAAAGCGUGGGGAGCAAACAGG
rnacentral:rRNA from 1 species